rnacentral:rRNA from 1 species
CGUGCCUAUACAUGCAAGUCGAACGAACUCUGGUAUUGAUUGGUGCUUGCAUCAUGAUUUACAUUUGAGUGAGUGGCGAACUGGUGAGUAACACGUGGGAAACCUGCCCAGAAGCGGGGGAUAACACCUGGAAACAGAUGCUAAUACCGCAUAACAACUUGGACCGCAUGGUCCGAGUUUGAAAGAUGGCUUCGGCUAUCACUUUUGGAUGGUCCCGCGGCGUAUUAGCUAGAUGGUGGGGUAACGGCUCACCAUGGCAAUGAUACGUAGCCGACCUGAGAGGGUAAUCGGCCACAUUGGGACUGAGACACGGCCCAAACUCCUACGGGAGGCAGCAGUAGGGAAUCUUCCACAAUGGACGAAAGUCUGAUGGAGCAACGCCGCGUGAGUGAAGAAGGGUUUCGGCUCGUAAAACUCUGUUGUUAAAGAAGAACAUAUCUGAGAGUAACUGUUCAGGUAUUGACGGUAUUUAACCAGAAAGCCACGGCUAACUACGUGCCAGCAGCCGCGGUAAUACGUAGGUGGCAAGCGUUGUCCGGAUUUAUUGGGCGUAAAGCGAGCGCAGGCGGUUUUUUAAGUCUGAUGUGAAAGCCUUCGGCUCAACCGAAGAAGUGCAUCGGAAACUGGGAAACUUGAGUGCAGAAGAGGACAGUGGAACUCCAUGUGUAGCGGUGAAAUGCGUAGAUAUAUGGAAGAACACCAGUGGCGAAGGCGGCUGUCUGGUCUGUAACUGACGCUGAGGCUCGAAAGUAUGGGUAGCAAACAGGAUUAGAUACCCUGGUAGUCCAUACCGUAAACGAUGAAUGCUAAGUGUUGGAGGGUUUCCGCCCUUCAGUGCUGCAGCUAACGCAUUAAGCAUUCCGCCUGGGGAGUACGGCCGCAAGGCUGAAACUCAAAGGAAUUGACGGGGGCCCGCACAAGCGGUGGAGCAUGUGGUUUAAUUCGAAGCUACGCGAAGAACCUUACCAGGUCUUGACAUACUAUGCAAAUCUAAGAGAUUAGACGUUCCCUUCGGGGACAUGGAUACAGGUGGUGCAUGGUUGUCGUCAGCUCGUGUCGUGAGAUGUUGGGUUAAGUCCCGCAACGAGCGCAACCCUUAUUAUCAGUUGCCAGCAUUAAGUUGGGCACUCUGGUGAGACUGCCGGUGACAAACCGGAGGAAGGUGGGGAUGACGUCAAAUCAUCAUGCCCCUUAUGACCUGGGCUACACACGUGCUACAAUGGAUGGUACAACGAGUUGCGAACUCGCGAGAGUAAGCUAAUCUCUUAAAGCCAUUCUCAGUUCGGAUUGUAGGCUGCAACUCGCCUACAUGAAGUCGGAAUCGCUAGUAAUCGCGGAUCAGCAUGCCGCGGUGAAUACGUUCCCGGGCCUUGUACACACCGCCCGUCACACCAUGAGAGUUUGUAACACCCAAAGUCGGUGGGGUAACCUUUUAGGAACCAGCCGCC